rnacentral:rRNA from 1 species
GAUGAACGCUGGCGGCGUGCUUAACACAUGCAAGUCGAACGAGAAAUGUAGACGGAAACCUUCGGGCGGAAGCCUUCAUUUCGAGUGGCGGACGGGUGAGUAACGCGUGGGUAACCUGCCUCAUACAGGGGGAUAACAGUUGGAAACGACUGUUAAUACCGCAUAAGACCACAGCAUCGCAUGAUGCGGGGGUAAAAACUCCGGUGGUAUGAGAUGGACCCGCGUUCGAUUAGCCAGUUGGCGGGGUAACGGCCCACCAAAGCGACGAUCGAUAGCCGAUCUGAGAGGAUGACCGGCCACAUUGGGACUGAGACACGGCCCAAACUCCUACGGGAGGCAGCAGUGGGGAAUAUUGCACAAUGGGGGAAACCCUGAUACAGCGACGCCGCGUGAGUGAAGAAGUACUUCGGUAUGUAAAGCUCUAUCAGCAGGGAAGAAAAUGACGGUACCUGAGUAAGAAGCCCCGGCUAACUACGUG